AACGUAGGUACCGAGCGUUAUCCGGAUUUACUGGGCGUAAAGCGCGUUCAGGCGGCUUGACAAGUCGGGCAUGAAAUCUCUCGGCUCAACCGGGAGGGGCUGUCCGAUACUGUCGGGCUUGAGGGCAGUAGAGGGUGGUGGAAUUCCGGGUGUAGUGGUGAAAUGCGUAGAUAUCCGGAGGAACACCAGUGGCGAAAGCGGCCACCUGGACUGUACCUGACGCUCAAACGCGAAAGCUAGGGGAGCGAACGGG
rnacentral:rRNA from 1 species